GGGGGUAUAGCUCAAGUGGUAGAGUGCCUGCUUAGCUAGCAUGCACAAGGUCCUGGGUUCAAUCCCUAGUACCUCCA
rnacentral:tRNA from 1 species